GGAGACAGUGAGUGGGUAGGGACAGUGCCUGGCCAAGUGGUCACGAGGGAUAAUUACAGGAUGGACCAUCGGGGAUGUUCGGGAUUGGCUGAGACAGUUUGAGAAAGGGGGCGUGGCCGGGGGCGGGGCAAAUAGAAAGUUAGGGGACUGAUCAUGAAUAUAUUGCUUCGUAAGUGACGCUGAGAUUGGGUGUGACAGAAAUGUAAAUGGGAUGCAUUUUGACAGCUUUAUGGUGAGGUUCAUUAGCAUAUUCAUAUAAAUUAUGGACAGCCGAGGGAUACCUGCAAGAGACCUCUGUUUACAGCCUCAAAGAUCCUGAACUUCGGAGCAACUACCUGCUCGCUAUCAGCAUCCGAAAAGACUGGUUGCGUUGCAGCUGCAAGACGAUGUCUCGCCUCCGUCUCAUGAUUGCCUUGGCUCUUUUCAUCACGCUGUACGUGGUCUGUUCGACUGAGGGAUUCUCCCAAGAUAUAUCUCAACGUCAGAAAAGAUCAUAUUUGGAGUGGAGUGAAAGCGAGGUGCCCAAUUCCGUCUUCUCGGCCAGACUAUCAAAUCAAGAAGUCAAGUCGGGGACUCCAAUAAAAUUUGACAUCAUAAUCAGCAAUCCACAAAAACACUACGAACCCACCACGGGCAAGUUCACGUGCAUCUAUCCGGGCGCCUAUUACUUCUCCUUCCAGUCGCACUCCAAUGACAAAGGUUAUCUCGUAGCAUUACUUAAUAAGAAUGGCAAUACGGUCAUCAGAAUGACAGCUCACCCCAAUGACGAGAUGAGCGGUAGUACUGUGAUGUUGCUGACCAAAGGCGACCAGGUUACCGUGGAGUUUAAGGAGCCUUGGCUAAAUAUAUUUAUUAAUCAGCACCGGGACACCGUGUUCAGUGGAUUCCUGAUCCCCUCUUAUUAAUUCUGCCUGGGCGUUAUUCUCCCAGAACAGACUCGAAAAUUGUCAACCGGAAGGAUGAUAAUGGGGCGACCACACAAGUCAUUCUCGUUUCAUGCUCGUCCAUUACAACUUUGAUGUGUUGCUGGCCGCCUGGCGUCUUGGGCAUUCCUAAGUGUUACAACAAAUCGGCAGAUCUUUUUUAUAUGUAUUGGAACAUUUGGCAUGACGUAACAAUUAUCAAAAUAUGACUAACUGAUUUAUACUUUGUCACGUAUCGCUAUCAGGAGUGCCCUAGGCCUACAAGCUCUCCUUUGUCAUGCUUUUUGCCCUCACCCCGCUCUCUGUACGACGAGGGAUUAAUUUCUCGCUCAAAACACUGCUCGCGGCUAGCUAGGAGUACGGGUGAUUGGCAUAAGGCACUAUAACUAUCACCAGAAUGCAAUAAAUGUCUAUCCGUAAUAUUAUAUCAUUGUACCCACUUAUUUUCCCAUUUAUGUAUACAGUUAUGAGACUAAAAUGAGGACAUACUGUAUGUUUGUGACUUACCAAGAUAAUUAAAAGAUUCAGAAUUUCAGACUGUAUCCAGCUGAUAUCAAGCUCUGAUUGCUGCCAUGAUGUUAAGUCAUAGCAAUGCUUUUGAGUGUUGCUAAGCAGGCGUGUGCGUGUGUGCUUGGCGGUGGGUUUAAUAAAGGCUACAUUACAUGCAAAUGUGCUCAAUUCAUUGUUCAUUAUUGUGGCGGAUAAAGGGCUGUCGAUUUAGAUGGCGAUGGUGCAGCCCAGUGGUCGCGCGCUUGCCGCUCCUUUAUGGAGGUUCGCGGAGUCAAUGUGGGCAGGCCGCCCUGGUUAAUACUGCGGUGUAUGAACCACGAAACACCACAAGUAAUCUGCUUCACAGCGGACACUGUAGAUUCUCGGGACGUCUUCGGAACAAAGUAGGUCACUGUGUGCUGGCGUCAU